rnacentral:rRNA from 1 species
GACGAACGCUGGCGGCGUGCCUAAUACAUGCAAGUAGAACGCACAGUUUAUACCGUAGCUUGCUACACCAUAGACUGUGAGCUGCGAACGGGUGAGUAACGCGUAGGUAACCUGCCUGGUAGCGGGGGAUAACUAUUGGAAACGAUAGCUAAUACCGCAUAAUAUUAAUUAUUGCAUGAUAAUUAAUUGAAAGGUGCAAUUGCACCACUACCAGAUGGACCUGCGUUGUAUUAGCUAGUAGGUGAGGUAACGGCUCACCUAGGCGACGAUACAUAGCCGACCUGAGAGGGUGAUCGGCCACACUGGGACUGAGACACGGCCCAGACUCCUACGGGAGGCAGCAGUAGGGAAUCUUCGGCAAUGGACGAAAGUCUGACCGAGCAACGCCGCGUGAGUGAAGAAGGUUUUCGGAUCGUAAAGCUCUGUUGUAAGAGAAGAACGGGUGUGAGAGUGGAAAGUUCACACUGUGACGG